rnacentral:rRNA from 1 species
UGGGGAAUUUUGCACAAUGGGGGCAACCCUGAUGCAGCGACGCCGCGUGAUUUAGAAGGCCUUCGGGUUGUAAAAAUCUUUUGUAUAGGAAGAAAAUGACAGUACUAUACGAAUAAGGUCCGGCUAAUUACGUGCCCGCAGCCGCGGUAAUACGUAAGGACCGAGCGUUGUCCGGAAUCAUUGGGCGUAAAGGGUACGUAGGCGGUUAAAAAAGUUAGAAGUGAAAGGCUAUAGCUCAACUAUAGUAAGCUUUUAAAACUGUUUAACUUGAGAGAUGGAAGGGAAAGUGGAAUUCCUAGUGUAGCAGUGAAAUGCGCAGAUAUUAGGAGGAAUACCGGUGGCGAAGGCGACUUUCUGGCCAUUAUCUGACGCUGAGGUACGAAAGCGUGGGUAGCAAACAGG